rnacentral:rRNA from 1 species
GGGUUAGUAGGUUGGUCACGCCUCUGGUAUGCACUGGUCUCACUGAUUCCUCCUUCCUGAUGAGCCGUAAUGCCAUUAAUGUGGUGUUUUGGGGAAUUUGGACUGUUACUUUGAAAAAAUCAGAGUGUUUAAAGCAAGCUAACGCUUGAAUACAUUAGCAUGGAAUAAUGAAAUAGGACGUUCGAGCCUAUUUUGUUGGUUUCUAGGAUUGACGUA